CUACGGUCAAAUCCCGCUGAAAAUACCGGUUCCCGUUCGAUGAGCGAAGUUAAACAAUGUCGGGCCCGGUCAGUACUUAGAUGGGGGAUCGCUUGGAAACAUCGAGCACUGUA